UACGUAGGGGGCAAGCGUUGUCCGGAAUUAUUGGGCGUAAAGAGCGCGUAGGCGGACCUGCAAGUCGGGGGUGAAAGCCCGAGGCUCAACCUCGGAACUGCCUUCGAUACUGCGGGUCUCGAGUCCGGGAGAGGUGAGUGGAAUUCCUAGUGUAGAGGUGAAAUUCGUAGAUAUUAGGAAGAACACCAGUGGCGAAGGCGGCUCACUGGCCCGGUACUGACGCUGAGGCGCGAAAGCGUGGGGAGCAAACAGG
rnacentral:rRNA from 1 species